rnacentral:rRNA from 1 species
GACGUAGGGCGCGAGCGUUGUCCGGAUUUAUUGGGCGUAAAGAGCUCGUAGGCGGCUUGUUGCGUCAGCUGUGAAAACCCGCAGCUCAACUGUGGGCUUGCAGCUGAUACGGGCAGGCUUGAGUUCGGUAGGGGAGACUGGAAUUCCUGGUGUAGCGGUGAAAUGCGCAGAUAUCAGGAGGAGCACCGGUGGCGAAGGCGGAUCUCUGGGCCUGUCCUGACGCUGAGGCGCGAAAGCUAGGGGGAGCGAACAGG